UACGGGGGGGGCAAGCGUUGUUCGGAAUUACUGGGCGUAAAGGGCUCGUAGGUGGCCAACUAAGUCAGACGUGAAAAUCCCCUCGGCUUAACCGGGGAACUGCGUCUGAUACUGGAUGGCUUGAGUUCGGGAGAGGGAUGCGGAAUUCCAGGUGUAGCGGUGAAAUGCGUAGAUAUCAGGAAGAACACCCGUGGCGAAGGCGGCUCUCUGGGACGGUACUGACGCUGAGACGCGAAAGCGUGGGGAGCGAACAGG
rnacentral:rRNA from 1 species